UCUCCGCCUCCCGAGUUCACGUGACUCUCCUGCAUCAGCCUCCCAAGUAGCUGGGAUUACAGGCACAUACCACCAUGUUCUUGAGUUGUAAUUAUUCCACUCCCUAAAUAUAUGACCUUGAGUCUGCCACAGGAAAGAAAAAUGUCUGGAUUCAGAGAGCAAUCAUGCUGUUCUUUCAAUAGCCAUGCUAUUGGCUUUGACAGGCUGGGAAAGAAGAGGGGAGAUGGAAAUGGUGCCUCAGCAGACAGGAAGGGUGGAAGACUCCAAAUCUUCUAAGCUUCUUCACCACCAGAGUCCUACACCCCUACAUCUGUAUUCCCUCAAGAAGAUCUUGGCAGAUUGGUGGUGGGAAAGAAGGAAUACUAAGGGGGAAAAAUGCACACUGAAGCACUGUACGAAAAUUUAAAAGUGAGUAAAGGAAAUACCAAGCCCAAGCUUCCCUGCCUUUGACCUCAUUAGCAUGUUUAAACAUCUAAUUAUAUCAUCACAUAUACUUUUUGGUGUUUUGGCAAGUUGUUUUAAGCAAAUAGUUCUAAAAUGAUUCUUUGUUAGAACAAAUUUACACAACUCUAAAGACUAGAAAUCAAAACACCAAUUGUCAAACUGUGAUGAGAAGAAAUCUUUGUUUCAUAACACUGAACUCUAGCUACGUAGUGUAAGGGAGGGAAAGAUUUAUAUUUGAAAAGUUCUCUUAAGAAAUGAUUAAUAAAAAUUUAAUAGAUCAUACUAAAAGAUAAGCAUAUAGCACAUAGGUUUGAUUUUCACCAUAGGGACCCUAUCUGUUCUUAUAUACAACCUAUACACUAUAAAAAUAUGCUAUUCAUUCUGGUUUUGUGAAGUUCCAAGGAAAACUGAGAAACAAAAAUUUGGUUGAUACACGACAUUCUCAAAGGAUGGUAGACAAUACACAAUCUAGAAUCCAGAUAAGCUCCAACCUUGGAUAUUGAGAGGCCUCUGGUCUUAUUCUUCAUUUAUUCAUUUGACAAACAAUAGGUACCUACUCUGUGAUGGAGCCUAGCACAUUACAGAGUUUGGAGGAAACUGAUAAGGUUUCAUUUUUAUCUUAGAUAUAUCAUUCUGCAUAUGUGCUAAAGCGAUUUGAUAUGGACAAAACUGAAGAUGGUACAUUAGAUGACUAUUUCAUUCAGCAUUACAAUAAAGAGAUAAUGAUGGCCUGAGCUAGAUUCCUAAUAAAAAGGAUGAAGGUAUUAGGUAGAUUAGGAAGGUAUCCCAAUAAAAAGGAUUCCUAAUGAAAAGGAUGAAGGGAUUAGGUAGGUUCCUAAUAAAAAGGAUGAAGAGGAGUGGGAAAUAUCAAGAAACAUGAGGUAAAACAAGAACUUCUUGACUGAAUAAAGGAUGACUUCUAGGUUUUUGGUUUGAGUGAGAAGUGAAUGGAAAUAUUACUAAAUGAGGUAUGAAAUAUCAGGGGAAGUGAAGUUGAAGUGGAAACUAAGUUUACUUUGAGCCAUGGUGGAUUUUAUAUGACUAUGGGCCAUCUAGAUGAAGUUGUCCAAUGGAAAGUUGGAUAUAUGAGUCAAACCUCCAGGGAGAAGUCUGGGCUGUAGUUUCAGUGUUGGAAGUUACACCUGUAAAGGGAUAAACAGAAUCUUGAGCAGAGUAGAGUCACCUAUUAAAUAAAAGCAGUUGGAGAUGGGCUAAACCCAGAGGAACACCAGUAUUUAGAGGCUGGGCAGAUAAAAGAAAAAAAGAGCUGAAGGGUAAGAAAACCAGGAGUAUGAGCUUCCACAGAUGCCAAGACUAAAAGGAAAGCGUACUGGAAAUUAAGAUCUGAAGAUAGCGUACUGAAUUCAGCAGUUAAGCAGUUACUGCUAACUUGGGCAAGAGAAUGUCUUAUGUUCCUUUUAAGAUGCCUAGGAUAGAGAACAAAAUGAGACCCAAACUGCAGCCAUGAUAUGAGCUGAGAGUAAAGGGUUCCAGGGAAGGAACAAAAGUCCUGCAGUGGGAAAGACAGCCAGGAUGGCUACCAUACACUAAGUGAGAUAGAGUGGCCCCAAAUGAGACUGAACAACAGGCAGAGGCAGAGAGUAAUCAAUCCAGGAGAGGGCUAUCCUCAAAAAUGUUGGCUUCACUAACCUGGAUUGUGAUCACAGAAUGGAAUUCAGCUCUGAUGCACACACUUUGCCUGUCCAAUGGGCCUAUGCCCAAAAUCACAUCCAUGUUUGGCAGUUAAGUGGUCUGGAGAAAACCCAUAACCAUACACAAGGCCUAACUCUUCACACAAAAUUCAAGGUGGUGGGGGAGAUGGGAUCAUCACUAUACCUGUUGCCUUCAAGUUUCAGAAAAGGAAAGACUGCAACUGUAGAAUUAUACCAUUAAUUUCGUGUUAAAAUUUCCCAAGUAUUAUUCCCACGGUCAACUCCAGUUACUUAAUGCAGAGACACAAACAGGUGAUGCACUUAUUUAUGGUUAACACCAUGUGACUUACCCAGGGUCACUGUGUGAUACAGUGGGAGCGGAGGUCCUAAUAGCCACUAUUGAGAAGUAGCAGAAGCAUAACCCAAGUAAACCAUUGACCUUCCCUAGUGGGUGCCUUAUUGGUGAGGAUCUGAACAGUUAUUUUAUGAUCAAUAAAGAAAGCAUUUAUUGUCUACAUCAUCUUCUAAGUCAACAGAAUUAAUUAAAGGCAAUGCUAAGUGUAUGCACGCACAUUUCUCUAGCCAAAUUAAGUUCUAUGUCUUAAUUUACCAUUAAAUUUUAUUUAUAAAAGGUGAUUCAUUUAACAAAAUGCACUAAAGCCAUCUCCUUUAGGAAACCCACUCUGAUACAUAUGCUGUGGUGGGGAUGGGAUACUAAUUAAAAUAUAGGCAGCCAGUGACCCUCUAAAUUUUACACAUCUUCUCUGAAAUGACUCUCUUCACUUGGAAGCAAAAAUAAUUGAUGUUCUACAGGCAAAGCUAGCAAUAGAGUGCAGAGAAAAAAAAAAAAACAAAAAACGAAAACAAAAACAAAAACAAAAAGUCAAUUUCAGAGUGGGUAGUUAGUACCAUUGAUUUGUUUUGUUAAACAGAAGAAGCUUCCCCUGUGCUGUACCUCACUGCAAUCAUUUGCUCAUUAGAACUCAUUAAGAAGGGACACUCUAAAUAAAAGUGAUUAUCUCAAGCUCUUCUUCUGCAUAGUUUCCAUCCAGUUAGCGUUCUUCUGCAAGAAUGUUUCUUGUUAUACACAUCCCAUGGAUUAUUUCAAACACAACUUUCAUUUACACAAAGAUUCACUGAACCCCUACUCUGGGCUAUGCAUUGUACAAGUGAUUUGUUCUUUAAAAAAUCAUUAAUCCCAACACUAAUGUUGUCUGGAAUAAAUAUUAAUGUAUUAAUUUUGUAGCUAAUUAAAUCAGUAAAUAAGAACAAAGAUCAUCAAAUUUAAUAAUUAGGGUAAAAUGUAUAAAGAAUGCUUCUAAAUAAACAAUAAAAACAGCUUUAAAUAACAUUAAAGAUGUUCAUGAGCCAAGCCCACAAAGGAGCAUAAAAGGCUGAUGAGGCAUAUUAAACAGAAGUACUACACUCCUUUGUAGUGUCAGCUGCUUUCAUGGAAAGGCCUCGUUUCUUAUUUUAAUCUUGCCAAUUUCCUCUUGUAUCCUUCACAGUCCACUGCUUCGUAUACAGUUAUGAGGUAUGUGAACUUCCAUUUUUCUAGUCAACAACAUGGUCCUUUUCACUAAUCCCACUGCUGCAUGCAAUGAGUAGUUUUGUUAGUACUGUGCUUUAGCUGCGUCAACUUGAACAAAAUGAGGGUGACAGCAAUAAAGGUCAUCUGACGAUUUAUUCAGCGGCCUCUGAGGAACAACUUGCAUCUAUCAGUCCCUCUAAGACAGAUGUCUACCUCACACUCAAAAACAAUACAUUUAAAAUUAAUAGGUAGUCUGUGCAACUCUUAGCAGAGGUGCCAAGAACCAAGUGGGCUUGGAGACUGAGAUACGAUUCUGCCCUUCCUCAGGAGACCCCUGCACAGCAGGGCCCAGGAAUCCUGGCAGAGCUUAUGCCAGCACUUACUGUUGUUUCUGGUGUGACAAUUAAUUGGAUGUUCUCUUUAUGGAAAACAGGAUGUCAUGUCCCUUUAAAAGGAAAAUCAAUGAUGAAGGCUAGCUAAAUGUAUACUUUUAAUACCUACAUUGCUAAUACAUCUCUUUCAAUGUAUUGUUAUAAAGAUUAAAUGUAAUGCUCCAAUUAUUUCACAGGUAUAAACAUAUAACUUGAUGCUUAAUUAGGGCAUUCAUCAGAAACUUAUAUGUAAUUAGGUAGGCUUUCAAAUUGACGCAUACUUUCAUAUUUUAUUCUAAUUAAUGUUGCACAUUUACUUAAAAUACUUUAUCUGAAAAAUUAAAAUAUCAACAGAAAUAAAACAUUAUUAAAUAGAGUUCAUGUCACAAACAUUCCUGACAAAAUUUCCCACCUCUCUUUGUGUCCUAUGUAGUGAGUUCACAGAAACGUUUUUCCUUCAUUGCAACUUUUCAGUUUUUAAUGGUAAUAUUUGCCCUCAACUAUGACACACCAAUAUAUUAUUUAUAUUGAUUUUAGUCACUUUGGAGUCCAAAUAUAUUCUUUAGUCAUCUAAAUUUGAAUUAAGCAUAUUUAAAACUGAAAAGGAAAUACCCAAUGUGCCUCAAUAUUAUGUGAGUUUUGCCAUUUAUUAUCAUAGAGUGUUAUUGGAGCUGAGUUUUAGAACAGAUAUGAUUUAUAAAAAUAAAAUCAUUCACAGUUAUACCAGCUUAAGUGGAAAUAAGAGACAUAAUCAGCCUUUCUUCAGAGCAUAAAGUUUUCAUCAGUGAAAUAGUUUGAAAAAUAGUCAAUUUCCAGGAAUUUAUGGUUUUCUGUGCAACAUUUGCUAAGGACAAAACUCCAGGUUAUAUGCAUCACUUACAAAUUCAACUCAAUGACAUAAAAUAUAUAACUACUAGUGGUAGUUCUUAGAAAUAAAAUCAGUUCUAUUGUACUGUACAGUAAUAUACACAUGUAGGUUUUUCAUUACAAAAAAUAUUCUGUAGAAGAUUUAAAAACAGUGAAUUUGCUUUUUAAAAAUAUUUUAUAAAUGUGUGUCACUUGGGACAAGGAGACUAAAUUUCAAUUUUUAAAAAACCUAAUUCUGUUCAAACUUAAGAAAUAAUACAUUAAUAGUCUAAACUGAUCUUUCUAUCUUUCUCUAGAUUUGGAGAAGUCUAGUCUACCAUUUAAUAAAUUGGUGUAUAUAUUAACAAAUGGACUCCUUCUUGCAUUUGUAUUAAGUCUGUAUUGUAAAACUGACAUUUAAAUUAUUUUAAACUGCCUAAUUGAGUAUUUCUUUUGAAAUAAACCCCUUAAAGCAAUCUCUGAGUUUUCCAUAAGACAGAUCCCUGAACCCCAUAUAAAAUAGAAUGUCAAUUAUCUUGACCCAAUGCUAUGUGCAAACACAUCCUUAAUAUGUUUUCUCUUAGGACAAUAAUAGAAUAUGUCCUUUGGGACUAGUUAUCAUAGAGAUAUAGAACCUUUGGCCCAAAUAGCCACCUUGGCUUGAAUGUCAAGAUGAAUCUGAUUAAAGGUUUUAAAUUUUACCCAUAACUUCCAGAAUGGGUUAGAACUAUCUAACACUUUAAUCCUUAUUGCAUUACCUCUGAUUAACUGAACAUCAGCAUCUGCACAUGUUCAAGGAACAGAUGGCAGAUUUCAGAGAAUGAAUAUUCUCAGCUCAGGGACUCCUUUAGGGUGAACUCUCCCUCACCCCCAUUCAUACCCAGUGAAGGCUCCAUGGUCAAAAUGGAAACAAAUUCAUUCUCUUAACUUAGAAAAAUGUAAAAGAAAACUAUGAAAGCAUAGUUCUUAUUUGAGAUAAUAAAACUCAAAGUCCAUAAAUUUCAUACUGAUAGAAAUUACUGAAUUAAUUAAAUUCCUUCUCUCCAAACCAAAGUAUUGGAUUAGAGAUUAAUAAAUUUUACUCACCAUCACCACCUACUUGCAUGACUUUUUGCAAAGCAAAUUUCUAUGUCUAUAAUUUUUAUUUGUCAAAAAAAUAUAAUUCCUAGCCUGAUUCAUAGGGCUGUGUCAAGGAAUAAAGGAAAUAAAGCAUGCUAAAGUACUUUGUAAAACAUAGACCACAGUCUGACAAAAUUCCACAAAAGUGAAUUAUAGAUCUUUUUAUGAAAAUAAGUAAAAUACGGCAAUGUAUUAAAUAAAUAUAUUCUUCAAGAAGUCAGAUUUAUUCCGGGAAUGUAGGAAUGAGUCAACAUGAGACAGUCGAUCAAUGAAAUUCAAUAAGUAAACAGAUUAAAAGAGAAAAACAAUUGAUCGUAACUAAAACUACCCCAAAGACAUCUGACAAAAUGCAGUACCAAUUCACAACAAAACUCUCAGUAAACUGAGAAGAGGAGAAAACUUCCUUAACAUAAUCAAAACCAUUUCAGAAUCCUAGGGGAAACAUUUUACCAACUGGUGAAGAUUUAGAAGCAUUCUCAUGAAUAUCAAAACGCAAAACAAGAUUAAAAAGCCUACUAUUUAUUUACUUGAUAUUUUAAUAUAAUUUUGGAUAGUUAAGUCAAAGCAAUAAGGUAAAGAUAAGAAAUUAAGUGUAAAAUAUUGUAAAGAAAGUGAUAGAUCAUUAUUACUUGCAGAAAAUAUAACUAUUUACCUAGAAAAUCUCAAAAGAUCAAAUGAAAAACGUAUUAGAACCAAUAAAAGUGAUAGUGGCAAAAUACAAUGUAAAUAUAGAAAAAUUAAUAGCUGCCUUAUAUGCCAACCUGUUUCUAAACAUAAUGGCAGGGGUGAGUGGGGGUGAGAGGAAUACCAUUCAAAUUAGUAAUUAAGACUAUAUAAACAAGUCAAGAAUAAAGUUAACAAGGUGUCUGCAAAACUUAGAUACAGAAUUUUAUUUUACUUAAAGUUAAAAAGGAAAAAUUAAAUAAAUAA